rnacentral:rRNA from 1 species
GAUGAACGCUGGCGGCGUGCCUAAUACAUGCAAGUCGAGCGAACAGACGAGGAGCUUGCUCCUCUGACGUUAGCGGCGGACGGGUGAGUAACACGUGGAUAACCUACCUAUAAGACUGGGAUAACUUCGGGAAACCGGAGCUAAUACCGGAUAAUAUAUUGAACCGCAUGGUUCAAUAGUGAAAGACGGUUUUGCUGUCACUUAUAGAUGGAUCCGCGCCGCAUUAGCUAGUUGGUAAGGUAACGGCUUACCAAGGCGACGAUGCGUAGCCGACCUGAGAGGGUGAUCGGCCACACUGGAACUGAGACACGGUCCAGACUCCUACGGGAGGCAGCAGUAGGGAAUCUUCCGCAAUGGGCGAAAGCCUGACGAAGCAGCGCCGCGUGAGUGAUGAAGGUCUUCGGAUCGUAAAACUCUGUUAUUAGGGAAGAACAAAUGUGUAAGUAACUAUGCACGUCUUGACGGUACCUAAUCAGAAAGCCACGGCUAACUACGUG